UUGGUUCAGUGGUAGAACAUAUGCCUUCCAUGUGUGAGGCCCUGGGUUCUAUCCCCGGA
rnacentral:tRNA from 1 species